rnacentral:rRNA from 9 species
CUUUAAGGGUCCUGAAGGAACGUUGAAGACGACGACGUUGAUAGGCCGGGUGUGUAAGCGCAGCGAUGCGUUGAGCUAACCGGUACUAAUGAACCGUGAGGCUUAACCUUACAACGCCGAAGGUGUUU